UUAUUUACCGUUUAGUCAAUUUCACUUUCACUUUCCCUUUGACUAAAUUGAUUCUUGCCUAGCAAGUGGCACAAUUCAUAACAGGAAACAGAACCUGCUCUCAUGAGAAUGAAAAGAAUCUCCUUUACUAAAAAGCCACCAAAGAUUAGAUAGUUUAUGCCAGAAACAGACCACAGUACACUCGACUGGAAGAUUCAACAUCCAGUAAAAAGAGGAAAGUGGCAUUGAUUCAGUUUCAAUACACACUCCUGCUUUUUCCUUACAAGGGAUCUAUGUACCAAAAGAGUUGGUCUGUGUGCUCAAAAGAAAAGACAACGAUUGUGAUCAAGCUUUUUUCAGUCCUAUUUCUGAUGUUGAUAAGAAAGGGUGUAAUAAAGUAACAACAGAGAAGGUUUUAGCAAGCAGGUGCUGAAAGAACUUCAAAAGGUUUAUCAAGACUUCUCAGUGCUUGCCAAACAAGUGUCAAAGAGUGAAUGGCAAGAAUGGCUUUAAAGAACGGAGAAGACCUGUUUUAUUGCACUUAGUUUUAAGCUUCUGUUUGAUAUUUUACCACUACGAUAGAGUUAUGUAAAUUUAUGUUAUGUAUUGUUCUAAUGUAUCAAUCUGUUUUGUAAUUACACUUUUUUAAAUAUGUUGUUAUUGUUUUUAUACCUUUUCCUACUAUUAAGGUGGUAUGGGAGUCUAAAAUAAAAAUGAUAGAAUUUGUUCAUACUUUGCCAAAAUGUAGUAUCUAUUGAUACAUGUUAAAAAAUAUUAUAAAAAUGAUAGGUCACCGUGCAUUUUUUCAAGCUACGGGUCGUGACAAAAUGACACAUUUUGUAUGGAUUAUACAGGAAAAAAACACCAUUUUGUGAAUAGAAAUUAAACCAAAUGAUAGAAUUGUAAAAUAAAUUAGGAAAAUAUAGCUUUCAAACAAUGCUUUGAUAAUAUCAAAAGAAAAGAUAGGGUCACCGUGCGUUUUUUCCGGCUAAAAUACAAAGUAAGAAAAUUCCAUGAACAAUCCAACAGAAAAAGCACUGUUUUAGAGUUACUUCCCCUUAAAAUGACAAUUUCAAAAUAUUCAAAAACAACCAAAAAUAAUCUACACUUGUAGAUAUAUUUAUAUUUAUAAGUUAUAUUCUUAUAAAUUGGAUCUUUUAAAUGUAAAAACACAUGAAAUAUCUGCAUUCUUGCAUUAAAUUUUGCUAAUUUGAUAGAAAAUAUGGACCUUAGAUUCUCUGUUUUUUACAAUCCAAGAUGGCGAAAGACACCCAUACCACCUUAAAGGUUUUUAUUAUGCCUUAGGUUACUUUGGUUUUUUAUUUCAUAGGAUUAAGAUGUCAUUCUUGAAAACCUUGUUAGUAUGAACUGUGUUUUUUUAUAUCUUAAUAUGUGUAGUAUUAAUCCAACCCGAUUAUAUUUAGUUAUGAAAAAAUAUAUACCAUAAGGACUGUCCACUUAUAAUGAAUGCCUCUCUGAAAAGAUUAGUGAAGCUUGGAAUUAAAUAUAAAUGAUUAAAAUAUAACCAAAUUAUGAAGACUCCAUACAAAAAAACUUUGGAAAGUGUCACAACAGUAAAAAAAAUUUAGAGUAUAAUUUAGGUUAGUUCUGAAUCUUAUUUUUUAUUGGGAUUUUCUUCGUUGCAUAGAGGAUGUGUUUAUCUUAUAAAAUUAAUAUACAGUACCUGGCCAAAAGUAUUCGUCACCUGCAUUUUUUUGCUAUUAUUUCAUAUAAAAACACAUUUUUUCAAAAAUAUAUUUUGGGGACAUUUUUGGUUUGAUUUUAAGCAACUUGGUACCAAUAGAAGCAGAAUUGUCACAGGUUUAUUUUUUUAUUUGGAUACAUUGUCUUAGUGGAUAAUUUUCAUUUUUUCACUAGAUAAACACAAAUAUUAUUUUCUGUUCAGAAAUUUGCUAUGUAUUCAACCAAAUUAAAUUAUAAAAAUGUAUUGUAUGUGUUCAUAUCAAGAGAAAACAAAAACACAUGAAGACAAAACUAAAACCAAAUAAACAAACAAACUUUAGACAAUUCUACAUCUUUUAAGGCCUUGUUGAUAAAAAUCCAACCAUAAAUGCCCUCAAAAUAUUUUUUUGGAAAAAAUGUGUUUUUGUAUGAAAUAAUAGCAAAAAACACAGGUGACGAAUACCUCAAAUUUGUGAUUUUUAUAUGUCGUAAAUACAUGUACAGAAAAACAUACAUAAUGAUUAUGAUAUGCUGAUACUUCAUUAUUGCAAAUAAUUUUAUUUUAAAUUAUGAUGAAUAUAUAAACUGGAUUGACUUCAUAUUUAUGCUUGUUGAUUGUCGACAUUACGUGUUGAAAAACAAAAAGAGUCAUAGGACUAAGAGUAACAAGCCUCAGUCAAAAAGUUACAACUAAUUAAUUCACUAUAUUAAUGGAUGUUUGCUUGUCAUGUUUUGCAAUUUUGUCAGAUUUUCGAAAUCCUCUGGUUUUAUGCAUUUGAAUGCCUUAAAAAAAAUUGCCCAUGAACCCCAAUUUUUCUUUUUUUAAAUCUUUUAAAUGUAUGAUUAAAAGCCAUUUGUAAAAGUCUUAUGAAAUCUUAUAUAUUUUUUAAUAGUUUUUGACAACUUUAAAUGGUCAAUGAUAAAGCUAUGAAACAUCAAGAGAGAACAUUUUCCCACCAAAAUAUCAUUGGCUAGUAUCUCGAAAAUAAGCACAUUGACCCCUAUAUUUUUUUGCUUUUUUGAUUCCUCAAUUUAUCCCCUAUCAAUAUAUACUGGUAUUAUGGAAAGUUAUUUAUUUUGAAACUGAGCAGCAAACAUCCUUAAAUGUAGAAAAGAAAAUGUAUAAAACAUUGUCUUUUUGUAAGAUAAAUUGGUUGUUCAUUAUUAAUUUUUGAAACUGGUAAAUUUGUUGAUAAAUUUGUUUGGUCUAUAAUAGAUUAAAAUAUAUAUCUAAAGAUAUCUAUUGAAAUCGUCUUCCUAUUAAUUUUUUUUUCUCAAAAACACUUUGUGCCCUCUAUAAAUGCUCACAAUUUUUAGAUAGGUAACUUGUUUGUCUAUUUUAUUUUGUACCAUAUUUUGUAUGAAAAU